AGUGAACGCUGGCGGUAGGCCUAACACAUGCAAGUCGAACGGCAGCACAGUAAGAGCUUGCUCUUACGGGUGGCGAGUGGCGGACGGGUGAGGAAUACAUCGGAAUCUACUUUUUCGUGGGGGAUAACGUAGGGAAACUUACGCUAAUACCGCAUACGACCUACGUGUGAAAGCAGGGGAUCUUCGGACCUUGCGCGAUUGAAUGAGCCGAUGUCGGAUUAGCUAGUUGGCGGGGUAAAGGCCCACCAAGGCGACGAUCCGUAGCUGGUCUGAGAGGAUGAUCAGCCACACUGGAACUGAGACACGGUCCAGACUCCUACGGGAGGCAGCAGUGGGGAAUAUUGGACAAUGGGCGCAAGCCUGAUCCAGCCAUACCGCGUGGGUGAAGAAGGCCUUCGGGUUGUAAAGCCCUUUUGUUGGGAAAGAAAAGCAGCAGGUUAAUACCCCGCUGUUCUGACGGUACCCAAAGAAUAAGCACCGGCUAACUUCGUG
rnacentral:rRNA from 1 species